rnacentral:rRNA from 1 species
UACGUAGGCAGCGAGCGUUGUUCGGAAUUACUGGGCGUAAAGAGUGUGUAGGCGGUGCUCUAAGUUCGGUGUGAAAUCUCCUGGCUUAACUGGGAGGGUGCGCCGGAAACUGGAGUGCUUGAGCGUGGGAGAGGAAAGCGGAAUUCCUGGUGUAGCGGUGAAAUGCGUAGAUAUCAGGAGGAACACCUGUGGCGAAGGCGGGUCUCUGGGCCGAUACUGACGCUGAGGAGCGAAAGCGUGGGGAGCGAACAGG